UCAUCUCGAGUAUUCCUUCAUUUGAGUAGAAUUUUACCCGUUGAACACAUCAGAAUAUAAUUUGGAUACAUGGAAAGUUUGCACAUAAGUGCCACAUAUGUAGCCAAGCUACCAUGUAACCCGCCCAUAAGUGAACUCGGACUCAACUCAACGAGCUCGGGCGUUCUCAUCCAUAAGUGAACUCGGACUCAACUCAACGAGCUCGGAUGCCUAGUUACAUC
rnacentral:lncRNA from 1 species